rnacentral:rRNA from 1 species
AUACGGAGGAUCCGAGCGUUAUCCGGAUUUAUUGGGUUUAAAGGGUGCGCAGGCGGCCAUUUAAGUCAGCGGUUAAAUCGUGGGGCUCAACCCCAUUCUGCCGUUGAUACUGGUUUCCUUGAGUACGGUAUAGGUGGGCGGAAUUCGUGGUGUAGCGGUGAAAUGCUUAGAUAUCACGAAGAACUCCGAUCGCGAAGGCAGCUCACCGGGCCGGAACUGACACUGAUGCUCGAAAGUGCGGGUAUCAAACAGGAUUAGAUACCCUGGUAGUCCGCACAGUAAACGAUGAAUACUCGCUGUUUGCGAUACACUGUAAGCGGCCAAGCGAAAGCGUUAAGUAUUCCACCUGGGGAGUACGCCGGCAACGGUGAAACUCAAAGGAAUUGGCGGGG